rnacentral:ncRNA from 1 species
CGAGCAUUUUCUGGAGAGAGUAUAAGUAAUUAUACCGCCGAAGGGUUAACCAUCUCAGGCAAAGCGGACAGAAAGGUAUUU